UGACCCGCCUGCUUCAGCCUCCCAAAGGGCUGGGAUUACAGGUGUGAGCCACUGCUCCCAGCCAUCUGGCUUUUAUUAUUACUUUCACAUGGCUCUAGCAUAUCAACUUUGGAAACAAAAGACAUCAUUCUAUUUAUAGCAUUUCGUAGUGGUAGUUCCUUUUACAAAAUACAGUAAUUCUCGAUCGCUGAAAACGUCAAAUCCUAGAAAACGUAGCAAUCUCACAUGUGAUGUUAACAUCAUUCUCUAACAGUUGUUGGCCAAAGAUCUAUUUGAUGAAUCUGAUUUUUCUGAACUAGACAAUUCUGCUGAUUCAGAUGAUUCUGUUGUUUGUUCUGCUUAGAAAUAACUCCAAGAACAUUUUUAUAUUUUAUUUUCACAAUGAAAAUCAGUCACAUUUGCUUCAGUCUCAAAGAGCAUGUUUAUAUGAAAUUAAAUGAGUGCUGGCAGCAAGUUUCACUUUUUUCUAAGUGGGAAAAGUUAAAUAUAAGCAAAGGAGAAUGUACUACUUUCAAAGCCAGAAAAAAUGAGAAUUUGAGGUGAAGGAAAAGCAAAGGCAGAAGAGGAGAAUAUACUUGUGUUUCUUCACUGAGCUCUGCCUAGGCCACUGCUUUUCCCUGCAUACACUGUCCUUGAGCAUGGCCCUAAGGAGAAGCUCUGCAGGACAGCUCCUAGAGUCACAUACUUCAUAGCCUCUGCUCAACUCAGAAGAAAACAUCUUUAAAGGACCACGACAAAGAGGUGGGCUGGAAUGUGACCUAUUUGGGACACCAUGACUUCAUUGGUGAUUCAUGGUGGGGAAGGGGAGAUAGCCCAGGAGUGGACUCGUUACUAAUGGACUUUGGACAUAAGCUCAGGGAAUGUGGUUGGAUAAAUGAGGACGGCCAGUGAAAGUGAACGGAAGAGAUAAGGAAAUAGAGACACUUUGUGUUACCUCACUAAUAAGCUCCUGCCACUCCUGGGCCUACUGUGGCCAGGGAAAUGGGGAUGCAAGUGUUCAACUCCUUGAAUGUUUAGGUUGCCUCCACCCUCCAAGCUGCUUUGUCCUCUCAUCUGCUGGGCAGAAAAAGGAAAACAAGUACCUCUAGAGUCUCCAAUCCUUGCCUGUCAGCCACUCCAGAUGACCUGAAGUAGACAGAUAAUGAACGCGAGGGACAGCUGGUCUCCAUCUCUACCAACCAGGUAAAGGCACCUGAGCCUAAGUAUCGGAAAUGCAGAAGAAAAAGUUCACGUUCUCAAGGAGUGCACCAUCAAAGACAAGACUAAUGUCUUGGAUAAUGACUGAUGACACUAAUACCCCCAUCUUCUUGAAGCGUCCUGAUCCUCUGAACUCUAUGGUCCUGUCUGUAACGUCUCUCAGCGUGCUGCUCCAUUUUAACCCGCUAACAUUAGAAUUUGUUUCCGGUGGGUUUAUCCACUUCACCAGUUUGGGGGCUCGCUGAGGGUACACCGCUCAGUACAAGGGCGCAAUGGGGCUUUAGGAAACGAGUGUUUCCUUAGCAUAAACGGCAAGAGGCACCAAGCCCUUCAAAGGAAGCCUCACUGGGGAACCUGAACGGACGGGAAGCUCCGAAGGGCAACAAAGCUGGCACUCCGGGCUGUCUCGAUCCCAGGCAUCCCUGAGGACUCAGUUGACUCUGUAUCACGCAAUCACUGCGAGUUGUUGCGUCAAAGAACCCAGGGUGCAAUCAGAGCCGCAGGACAGACAGGGGAGACGCAACCCUUCAGCCCCGCCUCACCAGAAAAAGUCCUCACUAGAGCGACUAGCCAGCCACGCCAUCUUUUCUACUACGUCAUGCCGGAAGCUAUCGCGGCGCACGCCGGGACGACAAGGGGGCCAUACGCAUGCGCAAUAGCCAAGCCUGAACCGAGAGAUGCGAGUCGCUCAAGUGCGGCACUAAAGGACCAUCCUCUCCACCUGGUUUCCGCCCUUCGCUAAUUGACAGCACUUUCGUCCAUGAAUCCCGCCUUGCGUCAUAUGCUGGGACCAAUCACAAUGCCUGAGAACCCGGGGCCCGGAUCUAGAUGGGCACGCCUUCCUGUUUUACGCGUUAGGUGAGGACUUCCCUGAUAGAAAACGUGGCGUUUAUUGUGGGCCAUGCGUAAUUGUAAACAUUUAUACACUAACUCAUACAGCAACCCUACUAAGUCAAUUCUAUUACCAUUUUUAUCUUCCAGAUGAGGAAUCCAAAACACAGUUUAAGUGACUUUCUAAAGACAGAAGUGGGACUAAAAAUCGUUUCAAAACCAGUGGAUUUUUUUCCCCACUCUAUAUUGUUUUUAUUUCUUAAUACUAAGUAAGUACUGCAAAAACGUUCUCACUUAAAACUGAAGUCUCCACGCUUGUAAUCCCAGCACUUUGGAAGGCCGAGGCGGGGGGAAUCACUUGAGUCCAGGAAUUUGAU